UGGGGAAUAUUGGACAAUGGGGGAAACCCUGAUCCAGCGAUGCCGCGUGUGUGAAGAAGGCCUGCGGGUUGUAAAGCACUUUCAGUUGGGAAGAUAGUUUUGUAGGGGAAUAUCCUGCAGAUGAGACGUUACUAACAAAAGAAGCACCGGCUAACUCUGUGCCAGCAGCCGCGGUAAUACAGAGGGUGCGAGCGUUAAUCGGAGUGACUGGGCGUAAAGGGCAUGUAGGCGGUUAUAUUAGUCUGAUGUAAAAGACCCGGGCUUAACCUGGGAUAUGCAUUGGAAACGGUAUAGCUAGAGUAUGGGAGAGGGAAGUGGAAUUUCCGGUGUAGCGGUGAAAUGCGUAGAGAUCGGAAAGAACACUCGUGGCGAAGGCGGCUUUCUGGCCCAUAACUGACGCUGAGGUGCGAAAGCAUGGGGAGCAAACAGGAUUAGAUACCCAAGUAGUCCCUGAGCGGGCUGGCAAGGCGCAU
rnacentral:rRNA from 1 species